AUUGAACGCUGGCGGCAGGCCUAACACAUGCAAGUCGAGCGGUAACAGAUUGAUAGCUUGCUAUCAAUGCUGACAAGCGGCGGACGGGUGAGUAAUGCCUGGGAAUAUACCCUGAUGUGGGGGAUAACUAUUGGAAACGAUAGCUAAUACCGCAUAAUCUCUUCGGAGCAAAGAGGGGGACCUUCGGGCCUCUCGCGUCAGGAUUAGCCCAGGUGGGAUUAGCUAGUUGGUGGGGUAAUGGCUCACCAAGGCGACGAUCCCUAGCUGGUCUGAGAGGAUGAUCAGCCACACUGGAACUGAGACACGGUCCAGACUCCUACGGGAGGCAACAGUGGGGAAUAUUGCACAAUGGGGGAAACCCUGAUGCAGCCAUGCCGCGUGUAUGAAGAAGGCCUUCGGGUUGUAAAGUACUUUCAGUUGUGAGGAAGGCGUUGGAGUUAAUAGCUUCAGCGCUUGACGUUAGCAACAGAAGAAGCACCGGCUAACUCCGUGCCAGCAGCCGCGGUAAUACGGAGGGUGCGAGCGUUAAUCGGAAUUACUGGGCGUAAAGCGCAUGCAGGCGGUCUGUUAAGCAAGAUGUGAAAGCCCGGGGCUCAACCUCGGAACAGCAUUUUGAACUGGCAGACUAGAGUCUUGUAGAGGGGGGUAGAAUUUCAGGUGUAGCGGUGAAAUGCGUAGAGAUCUGAAGGAAUACCGGUGGCGAAGGCGGCCCCCUGGACAAAGACUGACGCUCAGAUGCGAAAGCGUGGGGAGCAAACAGGAUUAGAUACCCUGGUAGUCCACGCCGUAAACGAUGUCUACUUGAAGGUUGUGGCCUUGAGCCGUGGCUUUCGGAGCUAACGCGUUAAGUAGACCGCCUGGGGAGUACGGUCGCAAGAUUAAAACUCAAAUGAAUUGACGGGGGCCCGCACAAGCGGUGGAGCAUGUGGUUUAAUUCGAUGCAACGCGAAGAACCUUACCUACUCUUGACAUCCAGAGAAUUCGCUAGAGAUAGCUUAGUGCCUUCGGGAACUCUGAGACAGGUGCUGCAUGGCUGUCGUCAGCUCGUGUUGUGAAAUGUUGGGUUAAGUCCCGCAACGAGCGCAACCCUUAUCCUUGUUUGCCAGCACGUAAUGGUGGGAACUCCAGGGAGACUGCCGGUGAUAAACCGGAGGAGGGUGGGGACGACGUCAAGUCAUCAUGGCCCUUACGAGUAGGGCUACACACGUGCUACAAUGGCGUAUACAGAGGGCUGCAAGCUAGCGAUAGUAAGCGAAUCCCACAAAGUACGUCGUAGUCCGGAUUGGAGUCUGCAACUCGACUCCAUGAAGUCGGAAUCGCUAGUAAUCGUGAAUCAGAAUGUCACGGUGAAUACGUUCCCGGGCCU
rnacentral:rRNA from 1 species